GCACCGAAAAAUUCAGAUGAUUCAAAAAAGGAAGGUGACGUCAGCUCAGACGAUGAGCCGCUCAUAAAAACUGCCAAGACGUCCUCCGAAGCUGCACC